rnacentral:ncRNA from 1 species
GCAUUGUGGCAGCCAAACGUUCAUAGUGACGUUGUUUUUUUGAUCCUUCGAUGUUGGCUCUUCCUAUUGUUGUGAAGCAGAAUUCACCAAGCAUUGGAUUGUUUACCCACUAAUAGGGAACGUGAGCUGGGUUUAGACUGUGGUGAGACAGGUU